UCUCCCCCUAGAGGCAUGCAGCUGUGGCUGCUCUGUCCCAUUUGUGUCAGGUGGAAGAAGGAGAGAGGCUAUGUCUGCGCUCAGGGUUCUGACCUGCAAACACGCGAAUGAUCAGUAGCCUCACAGC
ensembl:snoRNA LOC120101319 small nucleolar RNA SNORA17